GUGGGGGAAGGGGAGGGAAGGACUUGUUUGUAUUGAUUGCUUAUUUUGUUGCUGUUGCAACAGAUGCAGAAAAGCGCUUUAUCCAAUUCUGUGCUCAUGGAGGUAGUACCCUAGGCAGGAGCACCAAAUCUCGUGUUUCAUCACUUUGCAGGACCUGUAUGUAUUCAUCAGUUACGGUUAGGACAGUCAGACUGCAAGGAAUGAUGCUAGACCUUUUCUGCUUCUUUGCAACCAAAGCUCUCCAUUAAGUUCUGAAGUCAUUUGUGAGUACAGGUGAACCCUUCUUUCCAUGGGACAGAGCCAUAGCAAUUUCCUGUCUGCCAUUGUGUCCUAUCAACUAAAUUCUAGCAUGCAUGGCCCUAGAACAGAGAAAUGGGAGGACCUCAGCACUAGUCUGCUACAGAAUUCGGAAUCGUCCAAUAUGCUAACAUCAGUCCUCAUGUUCCUGCAGUGAUUCUGUGGCGUGUAGUGAUGACUAGAAGCAGUCAGAGCUCCUGUGGUAGAGCCUGCUGAGUGGUUAGGGACUGCUGGAAGAGCUGGUGCUUGACCAGUGCCUACUACAGUUGCCAAUACAUGUAGCAAUACAUCAUGUGUGCCAGAGUGUGCUCCCUCUGCAGUGCAGUAUGGACACAGCUGGAGUAAGGCAGAGACAAGCUCUGCACUAUGUCUAUCCCCUUGGUUCUGAGAACUACAGUCCCAGAAAAUGUGCACUUAGAUUGGGCACCUGACACUGCUGACCACUGCCUGAGCUGUAGCAGUGGCCCAGGCUUCACCAGUGCCAGUAAUGAAUGUGAAAAUGAAUUAACAUAGGACUCACGACUCAACACAACUCCCUGAAUGAAACAGCAAGUCCCCUAUUAAGUUUCUACUGCUAUCUCAUGAAAAAAUACACUAAAAAAUGCCAUAGCAUAAGAUGAAGUGUCUUGACUGUUGCUGCCCCAGUUGGUCCUGCCUAAUGUUCGCACUCUUUGUUUUUGGUGUUGUUAUUUCAAAAUUAGGAAACAGUAAGAUCAGGAAGUUUUGUGAUGCUGUUAAUAUCAAAUCCUUGUGGGUAUGAAUCACUUCAGCAGCUUUUUUUAAAGUGGAUGUACUCUAUCCUGAGCAACUCGUAUAUUGUGUCAGUACGCCAGCAGAAUUGGAUCCUGAAGAGAAAUGUGAAUGGCGGAGGAGUGUAGUGAGGAAAUGGUGGCAGCUGACAGAUCAGUAAUGAGUUUGUACUAAAACUUCACACUUACUUUCUUAUACAGCUCUGAGUGAGACAUGUGGUACUAUACAAACAGCUGAGUGGCAGCGUGAUUACCAGCACUUCUCCUUUCCCACAGUCACUCAGACUCUUCCUUUAGAAUUGUUUCGCCCUUAAAAAAGAGAGUCAACUGGAGAAAGAAAGGAAAAAGUGAUCGCUGUUUAUUUUUUUUCUCUUUUCGUUUUCACCAUCUAGGUAGGUUCUUCAGAUGUGCCUUGUUAAUACCUCUGGUUAAAAACCCUUAUUUACACCAUGUAUAAUUGGCAUACACUUUGGAAUAACUUCUUCAGUGGGACCUCCUUUGGACUUGCGUGUUCUGUCAUGCUUUCUUCUCUCCCACUGGUAUUUUCCUACAGCUGUAGAAUUUUUGUCCAGAUGCAUCUAACACAACACUUACAAUUGGUUGGGAUGGUUUAAUGCAAAACUAGCCUGUUUGCACGGCGGUGUUGAUUUCUACCACCAGGCUGUUUAUUGAGACAAUCCGUAAAUGUUAAGUUUAAGUAUUUCUUUGGAGCUCCAGUUUUAUCACAACACCUACUUCAGAAUUUAUUGAAGUGAAUAGGAUUUGCUGAGCUUAUUCCCGAGAGCUCAGUGCUGAAAUCUGUACUGGAAGCUGUAAACCAGAAGGUGGCAUUCACUGCAUUGGAGGAAAGGAUCAGAGACUGUUUUCUUACAGGCAGAAGUUGUAGGAACUUGCAAUGGACAUUUUUCAUAAACAGAUGGGUUGUGCAUGAUGAUAUUACAGUGCUUUGAUACAUAUUUUGUGGAAGUCACUCUCUUCUCUGGCACGAUUAUAAUCAUCCUGCAAGUCACAGACAUCUGAGGCACUGGAAGUCAUGCUGCCGCAUUGGAUUUCAGCCUGGGUAGUUGCAGUUCAUGCAAGCCUACUUCUUGUCUUGAAUUUUUGUUUCAAGUUGAAGAAUAAGUCACAACUGAAAAGAGGGGUUUGCUUCUUAAAGAAAAUUGACUUACAGCCAGUUUCCAAUUACAAGUUCUGUUUCUCAUUUAAUUCUUUAUCCAUGACUCACUGAAAUGUGUCUUUUACUAGUAGCUACUUUCAGCAUAACUGAACGUUCUGUCAUCAAUCACAUUGACUGUUCAGCCAGCAAGGAAAAAUGUAAAGAAUGAUAGUAUUGCAGUAGCACUGAUGUGGAUUCUCAGGGCUUUAACAGAAUAAGUGUCAGUACUGAUGUGCUUUAACAUGGACUACUGCAGCAAAACUGAAAAGUGAAAGAAGAAAACAGCAAAGUUAGUUGACAUUUAUAUGGCAGCGGAAGAGCGGUUUGACAACAUGGUGUCUGACAUGUAAGUGGGUAUGAAGCAAAGGUGAGUCAUUUAAUUCCUCCACACAGAAAUAAUUGCACCCAUUGACAUUCACUGAAGUUUGCUGUACAUAUAUGGAGACCAAACAGUGGAUGUGAGCACAGCGAGGUGAUGACUGGCACAUUUCAGCAGCUGUGACAGCAGCAUGAAUUAUAAGCCAUAUUCCAGACAGCCAUAAAAAUUUUUACAAAUAUGACAUGCAAGUCCUCAUUCAUCACUGGUGAAAAUGAUGGUGGUUACUAUUUUGAAAAAUAAUGUUUUGUAGGUGAGAAUUUUCUUUCUAAAAUAGUGUUAUUGUACUCUUUGUAUCUGUUGCAGUUUCCAUGGAAAUAAAUAGGAGGCAUUACUUUCAGAGCAACCUACAUAAAGACCUAAUGACUGGGAGUCAAGUGGAUGGAAACAGGCUCUUUUCAGCAGUGCCCAGUGACAGAACAAGGGGCAAUGGACAGAAAUGGGAUCAUAGUAUGUUCCAUAAGAACGUGAGGAAGAACUUUACUGUGAGGUUGGCAGAGUACUGGAACAGGCUGCCCAGAGAGAUUGUGGAGGUACCUUCUCUGGAGAUAUUCAGAACCUAUUGGACACAUUCCUGUGUAAUGUACUCUAGGGAGUCAGCUUUAGCAACAGGGUUGGGCUAGAUUAUCUCCGUCUUCCAAACCCUAUGAUUCUGUGAUUCUAUACUAGGCAGUAUAGCUUGCUUACUGUAUCCAAGAGAUUAUAAAAUCCAAGAGAUUAUAAAAUUGUCUAACAAGGAUAUGAAAACUAAAUUGUAAAACACUAGAAGCGUAACCAAGUAAACUCUUGAUGCUAAUGUGUGCAUUGGGAAGUACAGAAAGCUCAGAUACUUGAUGUGGGAGAGGCAGAGGGGGAAACUACAAUUUUUAAGACCUAUCAGUUUGGUUGUUAGAGUCAAGUCUGGACACAGGUCAGCUGGGCAAAAGCUGAUUUCUUUUAUAUUGUCAGCAGUAUGUGUAUUUUCCUCAUCUGGUUUCCAGCAGUUAGAAAGAAUAAAGCAGAUAUCUGCAGUCUUUCAGUGUAUCACAAUAUAUUUGUGCCUUCAAAUUUUAAUUUUCCUAUUUAUCUUAAACACCUAUUUUAGAGAGGGUUAGAUUGCAUGCCGGAACUGCCUAUCUCUUCAAGACUGGCUAAAACUACACAGCUAACUUUUGGGUGGCCACAGUUAGCUGAGUUAGCUGCAAUGAGUGAUUUUGUGACAAAUGGGAAGUUUAAACACUGAAAAGACAAGGAGAGAUAACACCAACCACAGUGUGAUUCAUUACCACCAAAUGGAAAAAGAUUUUGUAAGCUUUUCUAAUCUUUCUCAAAAUACUCUGUUAAAUGUUAUGCGCUAGUACACUUUUGCAGUGUGUGCUUUUCAAACAGAAGAUAACCCGACGUAAUUGUUAGAUGGUAUGAACAGCACUCUAAAUUUGAAUGUUUUUAGUGGCUUUCUUAUCUGACUAAGUACGUGAGGGAUGGCAAACAGGCAGUUGUUUCAAAGGCCAUCUUGGAUCAUUGGUGAGGAACCAGACAGACCUGGACAUUCAAGAGGGACUAAAAUGUAGAGAAACUGUCAAGACAAGUUAAAUAAUGUCAUAUGCUGCCUAGGGUAGUUCAGGGGAGGAAACACAGCUGCAAGUGUGUAAGAGGCUUUCCAAGAGUCUCAUAAUUGGUCAGAUACAUCUGAAAAUGCCGAAGAAGAAUGAGAAGACAAUGCUGAUGAGUAAUCCCACUUGGAUCCCCCUUGAGUCUUUCAUGGCACUGGCGCCAACAAAAAAUGUCAUGAUACCAUCAAGUAUCAUAAUUCUGCUAAAGAGAAUAGAGAAGAAAUAUGCCAGAAAGCUUCUAAUGGUGGCACAUUUUGAGUCAUCUAACACAACUGAUUAUGGUAUCAAGCAUACAAAGCGGUUAUUGGAAAAUAUGUCUGAAUGACUUGACUUAAUAAUUACAUUGUUAUGAAAGCUUCAUAAUGUGGCACUCUUCCUGCUGUCACAGCUGUUGCCUAUGCACAUACAACAUUCUGCACAAUAAAAUGAGCAUAUCUCUUAUCGUGUCAAAGCCGAAGACUUUUUUUGAUGUGACAUUACAGGAAAAACGACUUGAUAAAGCAGGACUCAAGUCAAAAGAGAAAAAGCAGUUAUAUGACUCUAUUUCCAGUUGUUACAAUGGUCUAACCUAGCUACUUUUUAAAUCAAAGAACAGGUGUGAUCAGGUGCCUAAAAGAAAGUUGGCUGCAUGCUAGGCAGCAUAUAAAACCAGAAAUAUCACACGUUAUCUGCUGGAUAAUUGACAUAGGGCAGUGGACAUUUCUUUGGUAUUGAAAUUAUUGUGGUGGGGGAGAGUUUGCUGCUACCUUUCCUCUUCGUCAGUAGAUCAAAUGGUGUUGGCACUACUUCUGCCUUACUUCCAGAUGUGUUUGUAUUGACAGAAAUAAAGUGGCUUAUAAUACAUGCUGAAAUUUUAAUUUCCAGCAGUAUAACCAAACUGCCCUUUUUUUCUCUUAGACCUGGUACAUUUCAGCAUGCUUUAGUCAAUCUUCGGACAAAGCUGGUUGGUUGUUUUUUUCUUUAGUUGUCUGAACUUGCUUUAGAGAAGGUGCAAAGUUAGAUUCUGAUGCACCAUCAUGGCUUUGGCAGUUUUGUAGCUGGAGACAAGCCACAGUCCUGUUAGAGUGCAAAUGUAGCCUUCUGAUUCUGAUAGAGUUAGACACUUUUGAUGGCAUGUUUCAUUUGUUGUACAAGGGGAGUACAAAUCUGAAGAGCUCAUAGGAGAGUUGAUAUCUUCUACAGCACAGACCCCGCUACACAGAUAACCUCAUCAUUUUCUUCUCUUUGCUUGUGUAACCAGUAAUGUCUGACAGAAGUGUGAGGAUAUCUUUCUUUUUCCAGUAUGCUGUCUUGGUCAGUAUUAACCAACAGUCUCAAUAGUAUCAACAUGUCUUGUGCUCACAACUGCCUGUUCUUCCAAUACACAGAUACCUGGUGCUGAUAUAAGUCCUGUUUGGAUUGGCACAUGAAGUAAAUUACAACAUAAAGUGCUAUCAAUCCAUGCAUUUCUUUUAUAAGUCUCACUUUAUUUUUCAGGUUCUGGGAGCAGUCAAGAGAGUUUUUAAGUCUACAAAUCUAAGCUACUGUUUCAUCUGUUCAUAAUUUUUUUACCUGCAAAGUACGGUCCACCUCCAGAUGGCCCCAGACCUCAUCUAAAAUAAAUAAAUAAAUAAAUUUGUAUGUGCUUUUUUAGGUGUUUGUUGAUGUGAUCUGCUCUUGGAUGUCUGGGAAUGCUGCCUUGGUUGAACAGUGCUUCCACACAUCCCAAACUGCAGCACUUCUUUCCCUGUAACAAGUAGGUAAUCAACAACCACUGCCACAAAUAUGGUGAUAGUCUGCUGGUUACUAUACGUGGAGGCAUUAAAGCCAAACACUAUACGUGAAGGCUAAAGCUAAAGAGUGGUAGGGUUGCUGUUUGAAACUGGAGUUUCAAUUCCCUGUGAGAAUUUGUUAGUUGAUACUUCAUAUCUUUGUAACUUUCAGGAAGUUCUGAAAUCUUUAUUUCACUAUGAAAAUCCCAGCAAUCUGUUAUAGGUGGCAUUACUUAAGUAGGUGGUUUAGAUCAGGUGAUCUCCAGGAGACCCUUCCAGCCUCAAUCAUUCUUUGAUGCUCUGAUUUUUUUCUUGCCAAUUAGCUCUCUAGAAAUGUACUGGGAGUCAGCAGAUGUCACGACCCAAUCAUAUCAGAGUUGUGGAGGUUUUGAAAUUCCCUCAGGUUAAAUUAAGGUGAAACAACAACAAACAACCAGUUAAAUGCUUAUUUAUUUCCCACUACGAUAUUUAGCACAAGAUGCUGAGUAUAUACAUAUAUAUAUAUAUGUACAUAUCUGUACCUUACUGGCAAUAAGCUAUGAUUGUGUUACUUCUAAUAAAACUUGACAAGAGAAAAAUAAAAAGGGAGAGGUGGGGGGAAGGAUUACAAUGACUCUUUCCUCCAAUUGAGUUGGGAGUCGUGGAGACCCUGUUACUUAUCACGUAGGUCAUGUCGGUAUCUCUUGCAACUGGGAAAUUUGAGUGUGGGAAGGGGAAAGGAGUAGGGACAUCCAUCCUCCAAUGAACUCUCCACCCUCUUUGGCAAGCACUUUUGGUUCCCAAAUUCCAGCUGCAAACUAAGCGCACAGUUUCUGUUCCUUCUUUGUUGUUAAGCAGUGCGCCAGUGGUUGAGACAUUGAAACUUUUUUAGACUGUCCACAGGACUUUACAGUGGGAUAAGUUCUGUUAAGCUUUGUUAAUUCAUUGUGACACUUACUCAUUGCCGAUAUCAUCAGCACAAUUGCCAGGCAGAUCUCCCACUGGGGAGAAGUCUCUUCCUUCCUAAUAUAGCUGCUGCAGGGGUAGAAGAUCUGGCCGACCAGUUUACAUCUACAUACGAGACAUGCAGAGAAACAGUUGCAAAAUGUCUAUCUUCCCUCAACAAGUGAGAAGAGGAGCUCUAAGCAUUAAAGAGUUUUGCAGGAGGAAGAACUCUUGGUGAUCCAAAAUUGCUGGAUAAAGCCCUUUGGACUCUCUUCUAACUCACAAACUCAUGAGAAAGAUCCAAUCUGUACCCUACCUGCCUGCGUGCUGGCUCUUUUCCUGUGGCCUCAAGAGGUUUUGCAGAUACUGAGGCUGCAAUCAGUCACUUACAAAGAAAGCACAGUCUCAGGCAUGAGCCAGAUUCCCAGAGAAGGCAACAUCCUUCAAGUAUUGCAUCCACUGCUGUGAUUCCUUUGCAGUUUUAUAUGUAUCUUGAGUAACUUUUCUUAACUUCACGGUUUCUGGCUUUCAACUGUCAGAACCAGCAAAUAUUAGAUUAAUUCUGAUUUAAUUGGAUGGCAUCUAAGGGCCUUACCCCUCUCUGGCACCUCAUUUUGCUCCUGUGCCAUGAUCUCCCAGGCAGAGGUAUUGCAGGCAUAUUGCUGCACUGUGUGGUUGUACUACAAGGGGACUGGAAUGGAAGUAUCUCCAUAACACUUCAGUGGUAGUGCUCUCUGAUGACAGCACCACAGGGAAACCUCAGCAUGAGGAGACAGUACAGCAGCUGAGAGCCUAUUACCUGUUGGCAGACAAGGCAGGAUACUUUGAUCAGACUCCCACUGGCUUAUGCCACCAGUGUGUGUAGGAACACGAGGUGAACUGAGAGCUUUUUCCCAAGAGCUAUUUUGUCAGAAGCUAGCUACUGAAGAAAUAUCUGAAAAUGUGUUGCUUUCUUAUUAGAUUAUGGGAUCUAAUUAAACAGAUUUUAUUCCAUCUGAUAAUGACAGAGAGCUUUUCUUUUUCACUGAAUUCCUUUUCAAGAUCUGUGAGCAGUAGUAAAAAAAUAAUUAUAGAAGAAAACUGAUGGAAUUGGGUAUGCUAUAUUUAAUAAUAGAAAUGUUAUUCUGAUUUGGGGUGACUUCAGGGAGCAAAUCCACUUCUGCUGGUGUAAUCCAUGGCUUUGGUCUACCUAGAUUCCCCUGAAAAUGCUUUGACUUUUUUCCUAACAGUCAAUCUUCACCACUACUACUUAUUACUACUUAUUUCCUGCUUAUUUCAGUUGCCUCUGCUUAUCAGUCAGCCAUGGUCUUUUACUUUGAGACACCAGAUUUUGCUAGCUUGCUUCAAAGAUAUUUUUGGGGUGAUUUCUUUGGUUUCUUUGCCUUUUUUAUAUCUAUUUCUCUCUUAAAGUCUCUAUAAAAUUCAUCAUUUAAAAUAACAAAUAAAUCUUUAUGACUUACAUGUUUUCUUCUCCUUCCACUCUCCCUUGCUUUGUUUUGUUUUGACUUAUAAUGAUCUGAGUUUUGUAAUUGAGUUGUUUCUCUUUUUUAAAACAUAAGAGGUGGGUUUUAUUUUGUUGUCGUCUCAUUCUUUCAGACUUCUCAGAAUUCAUUCAUUUCCUCUAAGACACUCUAAUCUUGCUCUAAUGCUUAGCGUGCAGAUACUACAAUGAGAUUAUUUUGUGUAUGUUCUUAUAUUUAUAGGGCCUGUAUUAUCACAGGAAGCAACCAUCAACAUUGUCCAGAGAUUUCGAUAAAAAGCCCAUGCUUCUGCACAAAGAUUGUCUCAUGAAUCAGAGGAUCAUGUCCUUUGCAUGUAUGAUAUGGUUCUUAGAACAGUUAUAUAGCAAAAAGAAAACAGGAUUUGACUAUAGGGAUAAGAAGAAAAAAAGACAAUGAGGAGAGGAACCACACAUCAUGAGAUGCCCAACUGGACCUUCCUUUAAGGAGAUUGAGAGCUAUUCUAAGAGCUAUUUACAGACCUCUACUCUGGUUUUCUUAAUAAAGACACUGACCACCUUGCUUUCCAGUUCCUGCCCAGUUUGGGAUUAUUAAAUCACAAAAGUAUGUCCUUCUCCUGCUGGUAGCCACAGCGGUCGGCUCUUCUCCUGGUCACUUCCCUGCCUCAAGCUGCUGCUCUAGUGGCUGCUCUAGCCAGCUGUCCUACUCCUGCUCCUGCCUCUUGCUAUAGCAGCCCCAGUACUGCUGCCUCAUCUGGAUGACAGUUGUCACUCUGCUAUCAAUGUCUCCCACUUCAGCAAAGAGUAUGUGGCUGUGCAUGUGCACGUUUGUACUCAAGUACACUCCUGCUUUUUCAACUUGGAUUCUCAUCUAGCAGUAGCCCCUUAAAGUCUGCUAUGCAUUUUCUUUUGACUUCUGUGCUUUACUUCUGUAAAACCUACUGAGAUCUUUUACUAUCAGCAUUCUUAACUCAAGCACUUAAUCCAUACCAUUACAUGGUUAUCUGUUUCCUCCAUUAUGUGGAUGGUUACUCUACUCUACUCAAGUAGAAAGCCUUCUGAAUGAAUAAACGCUUACGUGCAAAUUAAACUUGUACUUCUGUACCUUGUUCCUUUCUACCUGUCUUAUUCUCUCCACCAAAUAUCAAUGGAGAGCUCUUCAUCUCAGAACUUCCAUCUCCCACACAGGAGCCAGGGAGCUGCUCUCUCAAUCACGUCCUGGUGCCAAAGCCCAUAUCUGUUUGACAGAACAAAAAGUGGUCUUGUCAUAUGCUAGGGAUGUAUUCUCUGUUCUCUUCAGUACACUGCUAAUUGUUAAAAACCUUGAAGAAAAUUGUAAUAAUUCAGAUGUAAGUUUUGCUCAUAUUACUGUUCUCAGAGAGAGCAAAAAAGUAAAAUUUCAAGGGAAAGGGGUGUUUGGGAUAAAAAACUGCGAUUUUCAAGACCCAUGUUUCUGAAAAAUGUAUUUCUUCUGUCAGAGUUCUAGGACUUAAGAUGAAAGAUCGUUACUAACUAGGAUAAGUGCCUUUUUAUAUAAAGAAAUGUUUUUAGAGUAACUAGAAGAUAACAGCAAAAAUAAAACAGGAGUGUACCUAUUGACUUAAGUUGUAUAGCUUGCUCAUGGGAAAGGGCUCCUUUAGUCUGUGAAACCUACAUUUCAUGUUUCUAUAGCAGAAUCAGAGGACAGAAAAGAAGAAACUAGGAGCAGCAGAAGAGUCAAGAAUCCUACAGUCACAUCUUGGGUUGAAAGGGACCUUAAAACCCAUCUAGUUCCAACCCAUUGCUAUGGGCAGGGUUGCCUCCCUCUAGAUCAGGUUGCCCAGGGUCUAGUUCAAUCUGGCCUUGAGCACCUCCAAGGAUGAGGCAUCCUCAGCUUCUCUGGGUAGCCUGUGCCAGUGCCUCACCACCCUUACCACGAAGGAUUUCUUCCUUAUAUCUAAUCUAAAUAUACCCUUUCAGUGUAAAACCAUUACCCCUUGUCCUAUCACUACAUCAUGGUUGUCAGGGUAUUCAUAAUUGUGGAAAAGCCUCUUCCUGAAUUAAUUUCUCCAUAUGCUCCAUCCACAAUAUACAGGAAGGCGCUUGAUUUAAGCUUUGGGAAGGGAGGCUGGUAUGCCAGUGCUAGGGGUGAAAUAAAGCAUGGUGUACAGGAUCAACACUACCCCUGUCUGGUUCUUCUUAAAAAGUCUAUAUUUAUCCUAGCUUCUCUCAAUUUUACCAAGUUCAUUGGCUCCUAUAAAAUGCUGAGUCUGCAAGAGACACUGUCAAGUUCCAGUUACUUUUAUAGUCUGAGGUGAGUUUGGUUGUUAUUUGUUAUUAGUUUUUGUUUUUGUUUUUAAUUUGUAGGCCUUUUCUCAUUAACCUUCUUGUUUUUCAUUGCACAAUUUAGAUGGGGGUUUCCACUGAGAGAGUAUACGAAGAUGAAAGAGGAAGAAUUGCUAUGGGAAGAGGUUUUAUUAAAAAUACAGCUGAAGGUUUUUUCAUCAUAUCUUUGAGUAAACAUUAGUGGGAUAGUGACAGAAGAUGUGUCACUGGAUUUAUUUACUGUAAGACAGUUCUGCCGAGUAAAGUACCAUAUGAAAGCAGCAUGUGUUUUUUUAAUAUAAUGUAAAGAGUAACUUAUUACAGUGACUUUAUUUUCUUCUUGUUUGAUGGAUUGUUGCCAUUUAUUACCACCGAGUAAUGAAACCUAUACUGUGUUUUACACGACAGUAGAAUGUCUUGGGCAGCAUUAAUCAGCCUCACGAAGUGUUCAAGAGAAAUAAUGAAAGAAAGAACUGGCAUGCAAGGCAAGUGCCUUCCAGUUUGUCUCCUGCAACCUUCCUUCCUCUGAAACAUUCAUCAUCUUCCUCUUAGUUUGCCAGGAUCUAAAAUCAGGCAGAUAUUUUCUUAUUAAUAUUGAGGCAGGGCACUGAGAGCUGCCAUCACAUCUUUCUUUAGCUGAGAGAAAAUUACCUCAGCUUAAGCUCAACUACCUCCUGCUAUUUGUAAGUCUAGGGCUUCACAAGCUGCGUUACUUGGCUUGUAUGCUAUGUGCACCUUGAUGAUUCUCCAUGUUUUAUCAUAACUGAUUGUAUACAUAUUCUUAAAGCACGAGAGAGUCUGCAGGCUGGGAUAGAAUCUCAGUCCCAAAUGGAUCAGAAUCUAGGAGGUAAGAGGUGUGCUAUUGUAUCUAAAGGGAUAAGAGACAGCCAAGAAAUACAAGAUACAAAAACAAGGCUACCAAGGAGCUGAGUUCAUGGAGCAAUGAAUGUAUUUACUGAGGACUUCACAUCCUUUUGGAUAGAAUAUCCGGGGACUGGUUGUCAGCAUACAAGAUGAAUCAAAAUGUGAAUCCUUUCAAGAGUUUGCAUAGAAACCAUGGAAUCUAAUGAGUCAGAAAUAGAGAUGCUCAAGGCACUCGAUUUUGUACUGUCAGAUCUUUUCUUUCUCAGAACUCUCAAGAGUUUUUGUUAUCUAUCAGUUCAACAUAAGGAACGUUUUUACUGCUAAGGAACAGGUAAAGCAAUUUGCUGGCAGAGGCUUUGCCUCUUGUUCUGUCCAGAUAAUGCCAGGGCAUAGAUCACUCUGAGCAAUUACAAUCAUCAGUAACAGAAUUUAGAAAUCACACUUUUGCUGUUAAACACUUGCCAUUACAUUAUAUGACUUCUACAAUGCAGAUCUUUCAUUUGGUACAACAUCAACAUCUUCCUCCUUAGCUAUGACUCCUGCCCUUUCCUCGUCAGUCUGGUUCACCAAAUUGCUAGUUGAUGAACAAAUACUCUGUGCAUGACAACAGAAGGUUAUGCCUUACUGUGUGUUCAUUACAGCCCUUAACCAGUAGCUGAAAGCGUAGUAAAAAAGAUAUCAAGAAAUUUUGUUUUCUGACGGACAUUUUUAUUUUGAUGGGGGGUGGGGGAGGGUGAGGGGUGUUUUAUUGUUUUAUUUAUGUAUUUAUUACAUUCUUUUUUCAUAUUUAUGUGUGUUUGUUUUCAUCUGAUAUCUAUUCUUUGUGUAACAAUCAUUGCUAUAAAUGCUGCCCUCUCAGAGAUUUGUGUACUUUUCACCCGUUCAUUUGUGGAUAAAAGUACUUUUCAACACAAAACCCCUUGCACAAGUUUACUCGUGUGUGGUUAUGCUCUGUGUGCCAGAUCACUGCCCUCUGGCUUAUGUUUUAUAAAAUGCCAUGGCACCAAGACCCUAAAAUGGAUUAUAUAUAAUAAAAGGCAGGAGCUGUA